AGUUAGCCGAUGCUUAUUCUUCAGGUAACGUCAUUGAUUCCUCCCUGAAAAAAGAAGGUUUACAACCCAUAGGCAUUCAUCCCUCACGCGGUAUUGCUCCGUCAGGCUUUCGCCCAUUGCGGAAAAUUCCCCA
rnacentral:rRNA from 1 species